rnacentral:lncRNA from 1 species
UAACUAAUGGACACUAGCCUGAAUAACUGGGUGACAAAAUAAUCUGCAAUCAAACCCCUGUGACACAAGUUUACCUAUAUAACAAACCUGCACAUGCAACCCUGAACUUAAAUAAAAGUGAAAAAAAGAGCAUAGUCACAGUCUCUUACAUGAAAUCCAUAUAUUCAGAAGUGUUUCAGGAUAUGGAAAGUUUCUGGUUUAAUACAAAUAAUAUGAUAUAUAUAUACAUAUACAUAUAUUUACAUACACAAACACACACACACACACACAUAUAUUUCACAGCACAGGCAGGAGGACCUACACCAGUGCCACAGUCAAACAUAUUAACAUUUCUUCAAUGAAGUAUGAGUAUUAGUAUCAAGUGAUAUCAAUUAAGAGGUAACUUCAUUUCAGUCCAGUCCAGUUCUGCCUCAAAGGAAUUGAAGCCAGGUCAGAUUUCAUUGCCAAAUGGUUGGUGAGAACUUCUUACUUUUCAGAGUUCUUUUAACUUCAGAAUUGUGGAAUUCAUAUUUUUCUGGGGUAGAGAUGAGAGUGCUGGGUGAUUUAGGCAGGGUCACCCUCUGAUUGUUCCUCUCCAAUGGUCCCUGUGUAGAUGAGAGGAGAAGAUAGUCAUUGAUUCCCUGUUCGUCUCUCACGACCUCUAUUUGGCCACAUCCAACCCUCUAGCAGACUGGAAUGGCAGAGGGAGCACCUUGAACAGCAGCCUCGAUGCUGCUGAGAUGCUAGACAGUUCUGGAGGCUGGGGAGUCCCAGGUGCCAGCAGGUUCAGUUGUCUGGAGAGAGCUGAUUGCUCUGCUUUCAAGAUGGCACCUUAUUGCUACAUGCUCCAAAAUAUAGAAACGCCAAGUCCUCACAGGCCAGGACAAGCAAGCUGAAAGCUGGAUGAAGGCUCUUUUUUUUUUUUUUUUUUUUUUUUUUUUUUGAGACGGAGUCUCGCUCUGUCGCCCAGGCUGGAGUGCAGUGGCGGGAUCUCGGCUCACUGCAAGCUCCGCCUCCCGGGUUCACGCUAUUCUCCUGCCUCAGCCUCCCAAGUAGCUGGGGCUACAGGCGCCCGCCACUACGCCCGGCUAAUUUUUUGUAUUUUUAGUAGAGACGGGGUUUCACCGUUUUUAGCCGGGAUGGUCUCGAUCUCCUGACCUCGUGAUCCGCCCGCCUCGGCCUCCCAAAGUGCUGGGAUUACAGGCGUGAGCCACCGCGCCCGGCCCUGAAGGCUCUUUUAUAAGGGCCUUAAUUCCAUUCACUAGGGAGGAGCCCCCAUGGCCCAAUCACCUCUUAAGGGCCCCACCUCUUAAUCCUAUCACAUUGGCAACACCUGAAUUUUGGAGGCAACACUUUCAAACCACAGCAGUGUCCUCAACUCUGAGACACUCUCUCCACAGCAAAAGGUUUUUUAAGAGAUGGAAACACAGAAGAACACAGCGAACAGGGAGGAGAUAAUAGUAACAAAAAUGUGAAAUCUGAAUCAUAAACCAGUAAAGGGAAAGAUAAACAAACUGACAUAUGCUACAGAUUUUUCAAACAGCUCUGUUCCUGGAAGUGAUAAGAGGAAGAGAGUGGGAAGAAGAACUAUUGGGAAAAACACUAUUUGAGAAAUUAUUUGAGAACCCUCGAUCCUUCCAUGCUUCACAGUGCUAGGAAACUGGCCCUCACCUAUCCUAGAGGAGAUCCAGAGAUGUAAACUCUAAAUUGUGGUCUGCAAUCUUGAGAAUGCCAGGUGCAGGUACUUUGGACCAUUAAAGAAGAAAUUCUGUUUAAUGUUUUAGCUGCAAGGAAGAGCAAGUUAAUAACUCUAAUCUGGUUAAUCUUCACUUGAAACAAUCUAUGAAUUUUUGCUGUGACAAUGUGACUCAAACCACAAAUACUAUUGUGAUUACUUAUCUAUUUGGCUCCUUGCUAAAAUACUUAUGAAGUUUAAUUUAUCUCUUAACUUCAAGUGAGAAAUACCUUUAAUGUAAGUGUAAACUUUGACUUGUAUCAGUUAAUAUGCAAUCUUUGAAGAAACAGAUUUAGGUUUCUUAUCGGGUCAUACAAAUUCCUUCGCCUGAACCAUUCCACCGUUGUCUUUAUACUUAGCAAUAUUCUAUACUUCUCUGCAACAAGACCCACCCCUCCAUGGCAUUUAUUAUUUUUCAAACAUAUUUAUGUGAUUGUCUGACUUCUAGCACCCAUCUAUCUGUAUAUUUUGUUAUGUAUAUAUGUAUCCCUUCUGUCUAGGUUUACUCCCUAAUUAUCCCAUAUGUACUAUUCUUCGUUCCUCUGUCAAAGAGUAAACUGCAGGAACCCAGGAAUCAUGUUUCACAUAUCUUGCUUUUCAUAUCAUGCUGAGCAAAACUCUAAACUCACAAUAUAUCAAUGUUUCACAAAAUAUGUUUAUAAUUCCCUGCCUCAAAUUAACCAAGGGUUUUUAAAAAGCAUAUUAUUAAGUUCUGGUGAGGGAUAGUGGUGAUGGUUGCAUAAUAAUGCAAAUGUGCUUUAUUCAACUGGUUAAAAUGGUAACCUUUGGGUUAAGCAUAUUUUACCACAAUAAAAAAUGAAUUUUAAAGCACAUUAUUAAGC